rnacentral:ncRNA from 1 species
UUAAUUUGACUUAACGAGCGAAAACUCAUCAAGUCCAGACAUAAUAAGGAUUAACAAAUUUAGAUCUCUUUCUUGAUUAUAUGGGUGGUGAUGCAUGGUCAUUCUUAGUUAACAGAGUGAUUUGUUAGGUUAAUUUCGUUAACAAACAUGGCCUUGGCCUAAUAACUAGCUACCUGGAGGUGAUUUUCCAUCGUAGACGCUUGUUUUCCAAUUUAGCCUCCCCACAAACCUUAUUGUGUUGACCCGUUGAUGCUUUCACUGCGACCACAAUUUAGUCGUGAUUAAGCUAAGUUGAAGCAUAUUAAUAAGCAGAGGAAAAAAACUUACAAGGAUUCCCCUAGUAAUGACGAGAGAA